AUGGUCUUCUCUCGAUCACACGACGAGACUAUUUUUGGAAUACAAACUUUAACUCAGGCAAAACGAUGCCCAUUGUACAAUCAUACCAAAGCAAUGAAUCACCUAGUGUUGGCCAAUAAAUGGUACAUACUACUUUUGUGCAGUCCAUGA
rnacentral:rRNA from 1 species